GAUGAACGCUGGCGGCGUGCCUAAUACAUGCAAGUCGAGCGAACUGAUUAGAAGCUUGCUUCUAUGACGUUAGCGGCGGACGGGUGAGUAACACGUGGGCAACCUGCCUGUAAGACUGGGAUAACUUCGGGAAACCGAAGCUAAUACCGGAUAGGAUCUUCUCCUUCAUGGGAGAUGAUUGAAAGAUGGUUUCGGCUAUCACUUACAGAUGGGCCCGCGGUGCAUUAGCUAGUUGGUGAGGUAACGGCUCACCAAGGCAACGAUGCAUAGCCGACCUGAGAGGGUGAUCGGCCACACUGGGACUGAGACACGGCCCAGACUCCUACGGGAGGCAGCAGUAGGGAAUCUUCCGCAAUGGACGAAAGUCUGACGGAGCAACGCCGCGUGAGUGAUGAAGGCUUUCGGGUCGGUAAACUCUGUUGUUAGGGAAGAACAAGUACAAGAGUAACUGCUUGUACCUUGACGGUACCUAACCAGAAAGCCACGGCUAACU
rnacentral:rRNA from 1 species